rnacentral:lncRNA from 1 species
GUCGCUUGGUAGAUGGAUUAAAAAUGUGAGCCUGGUGAGAAGCUGAUUCCCAUACCAGACAUUACUCCCUGGAGAACUACCUCAUAACUUCAUGAUUUAAUAUUAAUUGUUGUAGACAUAAGCUUAUCAUGUUCAGAAUCAUUAACUUAAAAUUAACCAUUUAUGGAAAUAUUGUGCAUGCCAUAGAAAAUGGAACUUGUUGGUAUCAUAAGAGUUUAUUAGCCAAUAAGAAUGGUUAAAAAUGUAAUGAUAAUUAGUACUAAAAAAGAGAGCAAUAUCUAUGCCGUAAAGAUUCAUACACAAUCAUUGCAUUAUCCACCAUUCAUGUCAAUGAUGAUUGAAAAAAUGACAGUGUAAUACAUAGAUAUUUUUCUCUUCCAAAAAUCUUAGACUUAUGAGAAAUGCACUAAAAUGAAUGUGAAGUUAUGUAUUGAGAAUCAUGUACCUUCAUGUGGCAUGAAAGGUAAUUAUGACGGAGAUAGUAGAAAGAGUAUUCAACGAGGGAAGGAGAAACACAACACACCCCGCGAGGGGAGAGUGGGGCCAAUAAAAAAAAGAAAGUGGCCGCCGAAAACUCUCCCCUCGCAACAACAAACUAAUAAUUUUAUUGAUUUUCUUUUGACCUGCCAAGCAAGCGCACCGGACAUGGCAAAGGUCUAGUAGUAACAAAAUAUAACAAUCAACGUAACAAGUACCUUACGAGUCUACGACUGUAUCAGUAUGCAUAACACGAGGUCUCUCUCACAGACAUAACUUCACACUGUAUAAGAUAAUAAUCUCCUAAAGGAUCGUACCGAUACAAUCGAAAUUAUACAAUCAAUCUCGCGUUAUUUGAACAAUUCCUUCACUAGGUGAAACCAAUUUCUCUGUUCUCGAACUAGAAGCAGAACUACUCAUCCAGAUCCAAUGUAAAAAUACAAAAUCCAUGUCGGUUAACGACGCAAUCAAGACCUGUAAAAAUUCGACAUAUUCAGAUCCAAUAAUAAGACAAGAAAUAAGAACCGGACUCGAAAAUUCGCAGAUCCAAAACUCACCUUAUCAAAAUCAAAACCAGAUCGAAGUAUUCCUCGCCUACGUCAAAUAAAUUUCUUCAUCCCUGAACGAGAACGAUUCCGUGAAAUCGAGAGCGAGAAUUCGAGCGGAUCUUGCAAAGAAUCAUCGCUUAAAACGUGAUCAAGGUUCAAUUCGCGGUGAUUUGACCGAGUCAGAUGGCGCCUAAUAGGGUUUCCCGCGAUGAGGGGGAUAUGAGGGGUUAUGGUGAUUUAUAUAGUGGAGUUUGAUGAAAAAGGUUUAACUCGCUCAUAAUACACCGUUGGUAUAGACGGUGAUAGGAAAUCGCAUCAGUUCAUUUUAAUCAAAUAAAACACUGAAUGGGUAGGUAAUGUAUUUGCGGUCACAAAGAAAGGAAGGUUCUCGAUAAACUAUAUAUUUUUGCCUCACACCGUGAGACGUGUUUCGCGUGUCGUUCUUUGAGGCCAG